rnacentral:rRNA from 1 species
GACGAACGCUGGCGGCGCGCUUAACACAUGCAAGUAGAGCGAAGCGGCGGACGGGUGAGUAACACGUGAGUAACCUGCCUUAGACAUUGGGAUAGCCUCGGGAAAGCGGGAUUAAUACCAAAUGGUCUAAGAUGGACUCGCGUCCCAUUAGCUAGUUGGUGGGGAACGGCCCACCAAGGCGACGAUGGGUAGCCGGCCUGAGAGGGUGACCGGCCACAUUGGAACUGUGAAACGGUCCAAACUCUACGGGAGGCAGCCGUGGGGGAUAUUGCACAAUGGGCUAAAGCCUGAUGUAGCGCCGCCGCGUGGGGGAUGAAGGCUUUCGGGUUGUAGACCUCUUUCGCUAUCGAACGGGUAGGUGGAGCAGAAGCGCCGGCUAACUACGUGCCAGCAGCCGCGGUAAUUC